UUAUCUUAUGUGUGUCGUUACGGGUUAUUUAUUAUUUGUUUGAUGUUACAGGUACAUCAUAUGUUUGUCAACUUAGAUUCAAGGUAAUGCAUUUGUCGUCACAUUUUUCUUGUCGACACAGGUUCAACGUCAUUUUCUGGUCACAGCUUCAACGUCAUGUGUUUAUCGUCACAGGUACAGCGUCAUUUUUUGUCGUCACUGGCACAAAAUAUAUUAUUAUGUUUGUCGUCAUAUGGUGAACUUGAUACGAUUGUCGUGAUGGGUUCAACGCCAAUUGUUUGUCGUCACAGGUUCAAUGUCAUAUGUUUGUCGUCACAGGUACAAUAUAUCAUUUUGUCGACAGAUUCAAACCUUCAGCCGGUGGAAAAGCAUGCGGGUGGUAGGGAAAAUUAUAAAGUACAUAACCCAGCCAUGAUUUAUUGAAGUGUAAAAGUGUAAAGGACCAGACAUGAUACCGAACUUAGUAUUGAAGACCUGUGCCAGCCAGUUAGCAUCUGCUUUAUCGACAAUAUUCCAAAUAUCCAUAGACUCUGGUAAACUCCCUCGAGAUUGGAAAGACGCUUUCGUUUCACCUGUUUUCAAGAAAGGCGACGUCCACUUAGCCGAAAAUUAUAGACCCGUCUCCCUAACCUGUGUAACAUGCGAGCUUCUAGAACAUAUCAUUUGCAAACAUAUCCUAAACCAUCUGGAAAAUAACAACAUCUUAACUAAACUUAACCAUGGUUUCCGCACCGGAUUCUCCUGUGAAACACAACUACUGACCACUGUCCAUGACCUCCUCUCCAACUAUGACUCGGGCACGCAGAUAGAUAUGGCUAUCCUGGAUUUCAGCAAGGCCUUCGAUACGGUCCCACAUAAAAAGCUCCUGCAUAAACUGAAGCAGUAUGGCGUCACUGGAAGCAUAAACCACUGGCUCGAGGACUCCUUACAGACAGGAGCAUGAAUGUUGUUGUGGAGGGAGAGAAAUCAAACCCGGUAACAGUCGACUCCGGCGUUCCACAGGGCACAGUCCUUGGCCCUCUGCUUUUCGUCUGCCACAUAAAUGACCUACCCGAUUCAGUUAAGUCCUCGGUCCGCCUAUUUGCAGAUGACUGUUUACUCUACCGACCCAUCAGAAGUCGCCAUGACCAUGAAAUCUUACAACAAGACCUAAACAAACUUGAAACCUGGGCCAACACAUGGGGCAUGCGAUUCAACGCCAAAAAAUGUUACAUCCUGACCAUAAACCAGAAAACCUCAAAAUUUUACCAACUCGAAAACCACAUCCUUCAACAAGUCCCAGAAAACCCAUACCUCGGAGUGACAAUAUCAGAAGACCUAACUUGGAGCUCACACAUAAAUAAGAUCACCAAAAAAGCAAACUCUACACUUGGCUUCCUAAGACGCAACCUGAAACACUGCCCCGAAUCCUGCCGCAAGACAGCAUACUUUGCCUUAAUUAGAACUACUCUAGAAUAUAGCUCCAUUGUCUGGGAUCCACUCCUCCAAAAAGACAUUGAUAAAAUUAAAAAGAUCCAAAACAAUCGGCGAGGUUCAUAACUGGCGACUACUACACCAAAACACCAGGCUGUGUGACAGACAUGCUGAAGAGUAUGAAGAUCCCACCUCUCCAGGAAAGAAGGAAGGCAAACAGACUGAUCUUCUUCUUCAAGGUGGUUGAGGGGCUGGUGCCAGCAAUACCUAGCCAAGAUUUCCUAACCCCAGUCCGGCAAUCCAAGCGUAGAAUUACCCCUAAACAUUUCAAAGACUUCAAAGCAAACAAUAUCGUUGAACAAUAUCCAGUUAAAAGCUCUAAGUGUUUCACACCAAUCCAGUGCAAAACUCAACUUUAUAGAAACUCAUUUUUCCCUAAGACACUAAUUGAAUGGAACAAUCUUGAUGAAAGUGUUGUUCGCGCAGACACAGUUGACACGUUCAGGUCAACUGUCCUACAGUGGGACUAACCACCCUCUCCCCCGUUGCGCCUACACCGAAAGGUCCUGCAACGUACCUAUCCAGAUCCAGAUCCAGAAAUUACAUGGUUGUUGAUUAUUAUAUUUUGUGUUUUUAUGUAA